rnacentral:rRNA from 1 species
GACGAACGCUGGCGGCGUGCUUAACACAUGCAAGUCGAACGGAAAGGCCCUGCUUGCAGGGUACUCGAGUGGCGAACGGGUGAGUAACACGUGGGUGAUCUGCCCUGCACUUCGGGAUAAGCCUGGGAAACUGGGUCUAAUACCGGAUAGGAGCCAUUUUUAGUGUGAUGGUUGGAAAGUUUUUUCGGUGUAGGAUGAGCUCGCGGCCUAUCAGCUUGUUGGUGGGGUAAUGGCCUACCAAGGCGGCGACGGGUAGCCGGCCUGAGAGGGUGGACGGCCACAUUGGGACUGAGAGACGGCCCAGACUCCUACGGGAGGCAGCAGGGGGGAAUAUUGCACAAUGGGCGCAAGCCUGAUGCAGCGACGCCGCGGGGGGGAUGACGGCCUUCGGGUUGUAAACUCCUUUCGCUAGGGACGAAGCUUUUUGUGACGGUACCUAGAGAAGAAGCACCGGCUAACUACGUG